AACUAUGUGGGGUCAGAUAUAAGCUUCUAACUUCUCAUCUGAAAGGUUCAACUCCUUUCAUAGUUU
rnacentral:tRNA from 1 species